rnacentral:rRNA from 1 species
AGUGAACGCUGGCGGUAGGCCUAACACAUGCGAGUCGAGCGGCAGCACAGUAAGAGCUUGCUCUUACGGGUGGCGAGUGGCGGACGGGUGAGGAAUACAUCGGAAUCUACUUUUUCGUGGGGGAUAACGUAGGGAAACUUACGCUAAUACCGCAUACGACCUACGGGUGAAAGCAGGGGAUCUUCGGACCUUGCGCGAUUGAAUGAGCCGAUGUCGGAUUAGCUAGUUGGCGGGGUAAAGGCCCACCAAGGCGACGAUCCGUAGCUGGUCUGAGAGGAUGAUCAGCCACACUGGAACUGAGACACGGUCCAGACUCCUACGGGAGGCAGCAGUGGGGAAUAUUGGACAAUGGGCGCAAGCCUGAUCCAGCCAUACCGCGUGGGUGAAGAAGGCCUUCGGGUUGUAAAGCCCUUUUGUUGGGAAAGAAAAGCAGCAGGUUAAUACCCCGCGGUUCUGACGGUACCCAAAGAAUAAGCACCGGCUAACUUCGUG